CAUUUUUUUUUUUUUUUUUUAAACUGGCUAUGCACGUAUUUAUUCUGAAUCAAACUAGAAGUAACACCCUCUAAACUAGAAGUAAAACUAUGAGCGUAAGAGAAACCCAAGUAUCAAGUAUUUAUUCAAUUAAUGGCAUUCACUCGUAGAAAGACAUUGAAUAGUAAAAAUCAAGGCAACCAAAUCUCAAUUGCCCAACAAGAAGCAGAAUUUACAUAGGAAUCAUGAAGUUCCGGUUGUUAGCUGGAAACCCUAAAUUCCUG
rnacentral:misc_RNA from 1 species